GACGUGGUGAACACGCACCCGGGGCUGUCGUUCCUGAAGGAGGCGUCCGAGUUCCA
rnacentral:sRNA from 1 species